rnacentral:rRNA from 1 species
CACGCCCUAAACGAUGAUCAUUAGCUUCUUGAAGUGUCGACCCUUUAAGUGGCGAAGCUAACGCGUUAAAUGAUCCGCCUGGGUAGUACGGCCGCAAGGCUAAAACUCAAAAGAAUAGACCGGAGCUCGCACAAGCGGUGGAGCAUGAGGUUUAAUUCGACGGCACGCGAUGAACCUUACCAGGGUUUGAAAUGUUAUUGUAAGUCUUUCGAAAGAUUGACCCUCCGCAAGGACAAUAGCACAGGUGC